ACACAUGGAAGUAUUUUCGUGGUGUUGCUUAGUUCUAAGAGUGUUAAACGAAAACCCUGACCAAGUUUCUGUCAUCGUUUUGGCAAAGCUUUCGUCUGAGGCUUCUUUCGAAAGGUGUGACGAACACCUUCAUUGGACUAAUGAUCGCAAUGUUAACGCUACUUGUUGGGUUUAAAGUUAAAAUUUUCUCGCGUAUUUUAGCUUGCUCGUGAGUUUUCCUCGUCGACCGUGAUCGAGAGCGUACGACCGCGUGCCCUAGUGUAGAGUGCUGUGUGUCAGUGUCGAGGUCUGGUCUACCUGAUGAAGUGUAAAGUCUAAUGGUAACACAAUUUUAAAACGUGAUAGAUAUAACGAGGUGUAGUUAAGUAUCGUAAACACUGAAAUUCUGUGAAAAGACAUUGUGAAAAACUAAAGAAUACUACAUAUACUUUUUGUGAUUCACUUGAAAUUAGUUUCCUGUUACGUGGGAUGAGGAGAUCAGUUCUAUACAAUGAGAGAAGGAACGUGUAUGGAUUCACCACUGUUUACUGGCCACCAUACAAAAAGGACGAAGGACUCAGAAGAAGAUUUCGUAGCAGGGCCGUACCGAUCGUUGAUGGCUCUGCUCCCCUCCUUAAAAAUUCCAUCUACCCUUGCCUUCAAAGAUGCAAACUCGCGAGCGCCCUGUGAGGGCGCACCACUCGCACUACCCUUGGUACGGCCAUGUUUUAAAACAGAAACGACGUUUCGAUCAUUCUCGAGUUCACAGAUUUUAACGAUUGACCGUUCAGCACAUACGGAGACUGAGGAAUCGCAAAAAAAUGAAUAACCUUUCUGUAAUCUGCUCUUGAAAAGAAGCAUUUUGAUAUAUAAUAUUCUUUUACUAUUAAUUGUUCAAGAGAUUCAGAGCAUGACAGACAAACAGAUAUUUGGCUAUUAUAUAUAGAGAUAAAAGAUUGUGUUAUACUUAAAACGUGGUUUUGUGUUCAGCCUAGUCGCGUACACUUUUUUUUUUUAAAUUACUUCAAACUUGAAGCCCGCAAGUUUUGUGUUACUUUGGUGCAUAGUUUUGGAAAAAAAACAAUAUUAGUGAUUUUAUAUCAGACUCAGAUAAUGAAGUUUUCCAUUUUCAGUCCUUCUCUGAUUUGUUAUCUAAUUUUCAUGUAACUUUGUUACUUAGUUUGAUAAAUCAAACCAUUUGCUUUAUUUUACGACAAGUUUGAAUGGAUAUAUAUAUAUAUAAAUAUAAUUCUCUAGUAAUCACCGUUAAGCUGUAAAAUUACCUUUUUAUAUUACCAAGGGCACAGUCUUGAUAUUUGCCAGACGCCUGUCGUUCUUGAUCUCAUUAGCAAGAAACAGAACAACGUUCGUGCAAAAUUUUCGAAAUUUAACUGUCUGGUAUUUGGUAGUUUCUAUAUUUGCGAUCCUCCCAUGUGAUAAAAAAAGCUUUCAAACGAGUGUCAGAUAACCAGAGGGCUCCAACCUUAUGUUGAAAUAUUAUAUCAUCUCUAUUGGUAAUUUUAGCUCGUACCCAAAGAUGAUCAGUAAUAUGGAGAACUGUGGCGCCAUGGUCAAAUGUUAAAUCAUGUAUACCAGUUUUCUUAUUGAAGAUCUACGAAGUUAGUAGAACAAUAUAAUUAAAUAAUUUGGUCGCUGGAUAUUUAUCAGAAUAACAUAACGUAAAAACAUUAGUCUUUGUGAUAAAAUAGUAGUUCUCCUCAUUGUACGGCAAUGGUCUUGUCCAAGUCCGAUAAAUGAAUUUUCGUACUUGCCACCAGAUGGCAGUAUUUAGUAGAAUUUUUAGUUAUUUGAAUUAUGAUUGCAUGUUUUGUAAGUGACACUGAUGAACAACACUACAUUAUUUAGUUGUUGAUUUCUUUUAUUCGCCGAAACGUGAAUUUCGGUGAAGAUGACGUAGAGACCUUAACCGUUGUUUGAUUCGCUACUUCUGCUGCAAUAGACUAGCUUUGCUGAAUUAACAACUAAAUAAAUAACUAAAUAAAUAAAUCCGUUGAAUGAUAAUGGAUAAUCAAUUGCGACAGUUUGUGAUAUGUUGUCCAAACACCUAAAAUAUUUUGGGUUAUUAGUGGUGAGUAAAAACUAUACAUCAAAACCAAAGAAGAAGAAGAACAACAACAACAACAAAAACCACAU